rnacentral:rRNA from 1 species
CAGCCGCCGCGGUAAUACAGAGGGUGCGAGCGUUAAUCGGAUUUACUGGGCGUAAAGCGUGCGUAGGCGGCUAAUUGAGUCGGAUGUGAAAUCCCCGAGCUUAACUUGGGAAUUGCAUUCGAUACUGGUUAGCUAGAGUGUGGGAGAGGAUGGUAGAAUUCCAGGUGUAGCGGUGAAAUGCGUAGAGAUCUGGAGGAAUACCGAUGGCGAAGGCAGCCAUCUGGCCUAACACUGACGCUGAGGUACGAAAGCAUGGGGAGCAAACAGGAUUAGAUACCCGGGAGUCCCUGUCUCUUAUACA